AAGCAAGAAUGGAAGUUGGUUUCAAGCCCUAAUAGCCCACCUGCUCGUAGUGCUCAUCAGGCAGUUGCUUGGAAGAAUUACCUCUAUAUCUUUGGUGGUGAGUUUACAUCCCCAAAUCAAGAGAGGUUCCAUCACUACAAGGACUUUUGGAUGUUGGACCUGAAAACAAACCAAUGGGAACAACUAAAUCUAAAAGGGUGCCCUAGUCCACGCUCGGGUCAUCGAAUGGUAAUAUACAAGAAAU